rnacentral:rRNA from 1 species
UUGACCUCAGAUCAGGUAGGACUACCCGCUGAACUUAAGCAUAUCAAUAAGCGGAGGAAAAGAAACUAACAAGGAUUCCCCUAGUAACUGCGAGUGAAGCGGGAAAAGCUCAAAUUUAAAAUCUGGCGGUCCUCUGGCCGUCCGAGUUGUAAUCUGGAGAAGCGUUUUCCGCGUCGGACCGUGUACAAGUCUUCUGGAACGGAGCGUCAUAGAGGGUGAGAAUCCCGUCUCUGACACGGACUGCCGAUGCUUCAUGUGAUACGCUCUCGAAGAGUCGAGUUGUUUGGGAAUGCAGCUCAAAAUGGGUGGUAAAUUCCAUCUAAAGCUAAAUAUUGGCGAGAGACCGAUAGCGAACAAGUACCGUGAGGGAAAGAUGAAAAGCACUUUGGAAAGAGAGUUAAACAGUACGUGAAAUUGUUGAAAGGGAAACGUUUGAAGUCAGUCGCGUCGGCCGGGACUCAACCUUGCUAUCUUGCUCGGUGCACUUCUCGGUUGACGGGUCAGCAUCAAUUUUGACCGUCGGAUAAAGGCCGAGGGAACGUGGCAUCCUCCGGGGUGUGUUAUAGCCCUUGGUUCGCAUACGGCGAUUGGGAUUGAGGAACUCAGCACGCCUUCAUUGGUCGGGGCUUAAUCGCUCACGUUAACGUGCUUAGGAUGCUGCAUA